UUUGGUGAGAGGGUUGUUCCUCGUUUUUCUCUUCGUCUUUUAGAUGGAUACCAGUUCAAAUGAUAAGGGAUCCCCUGAAACCAAGGCGUCUGCUCUUCAUGAUGCCGAAAACGCCUCUCUCAUCUCCGGAACUGGGACGCUCAAGACGCCUCAGAAGCAUGCAGCAGAAGUGACUCCUAAGCUUUGCACACCACAGACUUUUAAAUCACCUUUGAACUUUUCCACAGUAACCAUAGAGCAGUUGGGAAUUACACCUGAAAGUUUCGUUAAGAACUCUUCAGGGAAGUCAUCAUCCUAUCUUAAGAAGUCCAGACGACGCUCUGCAGUGGGUGCGCGGGGCUCUCCUGAAACAAACCACCUGAUUCGCUUCAUGGCUCAGCAGCGGGCUUUGAAGGGCACUGAGAAAUCUCCUUCGGCCUGGGCCUCCCCCUUUCAGGGCAGCCCUGGGGUGAAUCAAAAUGUUAAUUCACUAAGAGAGCGAAUGUCUGCUUUCCAGUCAGCUUUUCACUCCAUCAAGGAAAGUGAGAAAGUGUCUUCCUGUCCAGAAACCUCAGACGCGGAAGAAGGGUCUGAGGUGACAGGCUUAGCCAACAAGAAAGGUCGAGGCGGAGGUUGGCAGCCGGGAUUUCCUGGAGAGUUUUCCUCGAAACGCCGGAAGAUAUCCUCAGAGAGCAGCUCUGAGGAUGGGCUCGGCCGCGCAGGGGGCUCAGGGGUGGAUACACAGACACCCAGGGCCCAAGUGGACACAGUGCACGCUGCUGGCACCUCUGCAGCUCCUCCUGAGAAAUCACCUGAACAUGGUCUAACCCAGUCUGGAUGUGUAGUUGAAUCUGUUCCCAGUGCAGCGGUCACAGAGACUUCAAGUGGAUUCGAGGUUGCAGAUUGCGGGGUGGGCACAGGAUCCAGUGAUGCUGAUCCGCUCACCACACCGCCCACGGGGGUGAGUGGGGCCGCGGUCCCCGAGGGCGGGUCACCACCUCCUCCCGUGUGCAGGAGGGAAGUUCCACCCGCUGAGACCUUUGUCCUCCGUUCCGUAUUGAAGAAACCUUGUGUGAAGCCGUGUCUACACAGCCUGCAGGAGCACUAUAACAACUUCUGUGAUGAUGGGAUGCAUCCAAGCUUAGCUUCAAAUCUUUUAAACUGUUGCAAAGAACAAAAAUCAGAUGAUGAAGAAGAUUGUAAUGUGCCCACUUUUCUGAAUCUGAGGAAGAGGAAGAGAGUUACUUUUGGAGAGGAGCUAAGCCCGGAAGUGUUUGAUGAGUCUCUGCCCGCUAAUACCCCACUGCGGAAAGGAGGGACACCUGCCCGUCAGAAGGACUCCAGUAGGCUCAGUCCCCAACUUCCAGAGGAGUCACCAGUGCCUGAGCCUCUGCCCCAGCCAGAUUUCGAUGACAAAGGGGAAAAUCUUGAAAACAUAGAACCACUUCAGAUAUCUUUUGUGGCUCUGAGUCCUAAUAAAUCUUCAGUCUCUGAGACUCUUUCAGGAACUGAAACCUUUAGUUCUUCAAAUAAUCAUAAGAAAAUAUCCUCUUGUAAAGCAGGUAGACUAACACGGACUUCUAACAGAAGAAAUCAGUUGACCAGUUUCUCAGAAGAGAAUGUUUGCAACUUAUAUAAUGUAGAAGCUCAGCCUUAUAAAGAAAAGAAAGUUAAUAGGAAGUGUCAAGACACCAGGUGUGCAAACAGAGCAGUUUCUAAAAAGAAACAGGUUUUUAAAAGUGGCAGAAAGAAGAAAAGAAAAGGAAAGAAAAGUGUGGAGAAAUCUUUGUAUGGAGAAAGAGAAACUGCUUCCAGGAAGCCGCUGCUGAGUCCUAUUCCUGAGCUGCCAGAGGGCUCCGAGGCGGCAGCUUCCGUCACAGGCCCCCGAAGGCUGCGUGCAGAUGAUUUCAGCUCAACUGGAAAACGGGGAGAAUUGGAGCUGCUUAACACCCCUGCUAAGAGAGAGAAUCUUUGGCUUCUGAGCUCAGAUUUGCAUUCGCAGCAAGGCUUCGAUGGAUCCGAUGCCUUUGAACUCUGCUGCUCCGAUGUGACCGGUUCCUCACUGCCCACGGCCACCUCUGAUGAAGAUUCAGACACAAACGUGGGUAACAGUGCAAAUAUGGCAAAGGCAGAAAAUGAGCAGGAAUGUGAAAGUGAACUCAGAACUGACAUGCAGACCAAAAGCAGUCAAGCUUCUGGCGCGUCUGUGACCAAAGAACUCCCUGUGUCAGAUGAUCUGAGACGUGAUCUUAUCCCGCAGUGCCAGGAAGUUGCUGUCAGAUCUUUAGGUCAGGUUGCAGAAAAACUUUGUCAGAUUUUUAACACUGCAAAAGAUAUAAAGUUGAAGGAACAGGAUGACUUCUUAGUAGCUGCAGAGGGAAAAUUGCAAUGCGAGUCCACAUCUGGCUCACAAGAAGAAUUUAAUUGUUUAGAAGAUGUCCUCACCAGAAAGGGCCAAGAAUCUGAGAGCCACAGCGAGGAUGUGGAAAGCCGGCCUGCAGAAAGCGGGAAUACUACAGGUUGUAGAGGAGGGAAACGCAGACGGCUCUCACUGUGCCGCUCUGACGAUCACAGUGUCUGUUCACAGCAAAGCGGGAAUCACAAUCCUUCCUACGGCAUGGGAAGCUCUGCAGAAGUGAGUCUCGGAGAUCCCAAACUAUGUAAAGAUUUAUGUGACGCCAUAGAGCAAGCCUUCCAGAGAGCCAGUAGUGAAACCAAAGUACGGCGAAGCACAAGGCUCCAAAAAGAUUCCGAAAACCAAGGGCUUGUGUGGCUCUCACUUCCGUCUCCUUCCACUUCCCAGAAAGCCAAAAGGAGAACCAUCUGUGCAUUGGAUCGCAGGGAAUUUGAAAGUUCGUCCCCUAGAAAACAGACCCCGUGCCCUGGGCAAAACCCAGGUGUGGUGGCCUCCAUGUCAGGUGAAGAAAGCAGCCAGGACCAGGCUGCCACUGGCUCUCGUGUAACUGGGAAGAGGAGGAAGAGCCUUUGUGCCUUUCCCAGGGAGAAGGCGGAGAGCUUGCAAGGCAAGAGCUAACUAACCACGUCCCAGAGCGCUUGGCUGCAGAGGUAACCUGGCCUCGCGUCUUCCCUCCCACCUCCCAGCCUUUGUUCCAGUGCAGUGCUCGCAAGUUUCGAGUAAAAUCGCCUAUGAUUUUUAAGUAGAAGCCUUUGUUGGCCAGCUCCCCUACGUACAGACUUUUCCACUCUCCUUGCUGUCACGUUCUCUUGCUGCUUCAUGUUCGCUCCCUGCCUUGCUCUCACUGGAGCUCCAGAACUGCGGGUGAAGUUUGGAGCUGGCAGAACAAGGAGAAAAUGAUUGAUCGUGCCUGAUUCAUGCUUUGGAAAACUGAGCUAUUUUUAAAGUCAAAUGUAGUGAUGUAAAGUAACUCAGUGCAAUAUACUCUUUAAGCAUACAGUUCGAAUGGCAGUGAAUUUACAGUCAUGUAACCAUGGUGAUAAGCAAUAAAAUGGUUCCCACCAGCCCAGCCUUCACAACUGCUGGUCUGGUUUCUGUUGCUAUUCUGCUUUUUCCAGAAUGCUACAGAAAUGGAGUCAUGUAACAGAUACCCAUUUAUGUCUGGUUAAGUAAGCAUACUGUUUUUGGGAUUCACUGAUGUCGCAUGUUAUAAGUAAAUGAUACCUGUUUACUACUGGGUAGUAUUCCUUUUUAUAGAUG